rnacentral:rRNA from 1 species
GACGAACGCUGGCGGCGUGCUUAACACAUGCAAGUCGAACGAAGAGCGACGGAAGCUUGCUUCUAUCAAUCUUAGUGGCGAACGGGUGAGUAACGCGUAAUCAACCUGCCCUUCAGAGGGGGACAACAGUUGGAAACGACUGCUAAUACCGCAUACGAUCUAACCUCGGCAUCGAGGAUAGAUGAAAGGUGGCCUCUACAUGUAAGCUAUCACUGAAGGAGGGGAUUGCGUCUGAUUAGCUAGUUGGAGGGGUAACGGCCCACCAAGGCGAUGAUCAGUAGCCGGUCUGAGAGGAUGAACGGCCACAUUGGGACUGAGACACGGCCCAGACUCCUACGGGAGGCAGCAGUGGGGUAUCUUCCGCAAUGGACGAAAGUCUGACGGAGCAACGCCGCGUGAGUGAUGACGGCCUUCGGGUUGUAAAGCUCUGUUAAUCGGGACGAAAGGCCUUCUUGCGAAUAGUGAGAAGGAUUGACGGUACCGGAAUAGAAAGCCACGGCUAACUACGUG